UACGGGGGGAGCAAGCGUUGUUCGGAAUCACUGGGCGUAAAGGGCUCGUAGGCGGCCAACUAAGUCCGACGUGAAAUCCCAAGGCUUAACCUUGGAACUGCGUCGGAUACUGGAUGGCUUGAAUUCGGGAGAGGGAUGCAGAAUUCCAGGUGUAGCGGUGAAAUGCGUAGAUAUCUGGAGGAAUACCGGUGGCGAAGGCGGCAUCCUGGACCGACAUUGACGCUGAUGAGCGAAAGCUAGGGGAGCAAACGGG
rnacentral:rRNA from 1 species